rnacentral:rRNA from 2 species
CCUACGGGAGGCAGCAGUAGGGAAUCUUCCGCAAUGGACGAAAGUCUGACGGAGCAACGCCGCGUGAGUGAAGAAGGUUUUCGGAUCGUAAAACUCUGUUGUUAAAGAAGAACAAGGAUGAGAGUAACUGCUCAUCCCCUGACGGUAUUUAACCAGAAAGCCACGGCUAACUACGUGCCAGCAGCCGCGGUAAU